CUAGCAGCCUUUGGAUGAAGAUGUAGAACUCUCAGCUCUGCCUGUGCCAUGCCUACCUGGAUACUGCCAUCACCUUGAUGAUAAUGGACUGAACCUCUGAACCUGUAAGCCAGCCUCAAUUAAAUGUUGUUUUUAUAAGACUUGCCUUGGUCAUGGUGUCUGUUCACAGCAGUAAAACCCUAACUAAGACAGCUGGCUUCUAAAGAGAGGGAUGGAGAACUUGCUAGAAAUCUUAGAGACUCAAGACAGCACCAGAUCACUUUAUAAAGAGAAAUAAGAGGAAGAAAGAAAUAAUUUGAGUUUUUCCUUCAAAAUUCCAUUGAUAUUUAGAUAAGAAAGGAAAUUGAAGAAUCACUGAUUCUGAAACAAUUCCUGUACUCUCUUUGUGCUUUAACUUUUAAGACGGGGUCUCACUUCAUAGCCCAGUCCAGGCUGGUCUGGGACUCACUAUGUAGUCCAGACCUGGAAUUCAUAGCAGUACUCCAGUUUCAGCUUCCUGAAUGUUGGAAUUAUAGCCAUAAGUCACCAUGAAAAUCAUCUCUUAAUUCAUCAAUGUGUGUAUGCGUGCAUGUGUGUGUGUGUGUGUGUGUGUGUGUGUGUGUGUGUGUGUGUGUAGUUAUGCAAGCAUGACUGUGUACACAUUCCAGUAGAGGACAAAGAUCAAUGCCGGGGGUCUUUUUUUCACAAUCAUGCUUCACCUUCUUUUUUGAGAUGGGGGUCUCUCCCUAAAGCUGGAGCUCACUGCCUUAAAUCCUCCCGUCUCUGUCUUCCCAGUGCUGGGAUUAUAGAGUGCUGAACUCAGGUCUUCAUGCUUGUGUGGCAAAUAUCCAACUUUCUAACUGAGCCAUCUCUGCCGGCCCAAAUCUUCUCUUUGAAAUAGAGAGAGUUUAUAUGUUUGAAUAUUCAGAGGGACCAUGGGAGCCCAUGUCCAUUGAAGGACAGAAACGGAAAUGUAAAUUUUAUUUAAUGCAACAAGUAGGUUGCCUAUCUGUUCUAUAAUUCCCAAGGGCUACCACUCUUCCAACAGGCACCACCAUUUUCCCAGGUGUCAUUUAUUCAAAUGUACCCCCUACACCAGGCUCUCUGAAAGAAAAUGGAAGAGGCUCAGCUGAGCUGCUGUGGUUCCCACCUUUGAUGAACUUAUGGACAAGAGAAGGAAGUGAACAUAAAGAAGAAUGCAACACACAUCCUCCUUAAGAGGGCUGUGUCUCUGUCACAGUUCUGCAUGAUAGAACUCAAAAGAGGAAAUAUUAUUUGGCUCAUGACUUCAGACGGCUUAAGCCCAUCGUGGUGGAAAAGGCAUAUAGCAGAAGACUGAAACUCUAAGACAAGAUUUAAACCAUGACAGUUUACGGCAUGUUAAGGCAUGGAACUGUAAAUGCACCUGGGAAGCAUCCGGUGGCGUGGCUCAGUAAGGAGACCCUUGAAUACAAGCUUGGCACUGUUGGUUCAGCUGACAGAUAACUAUAUCCACUUAUCUGCCAUCACCAUGAUUCAGGGUACACAAAGGUCAGGUGAAAAGGACUCAGGAGUGUGAGAGCAACCAGCAGCAGAGAGUGGAGGAGUCUUCGGUGUCUUCCUGAGGAGGAAUGAAUUUGACUGUGGUUCAGGAGCAACAGGAAGCAAGGGGAUGGCAAGAUGGGGGAUGGCAAGAUGGGGG
rnacentral:lncRNA from 1 species